rnacentral:rRNA from 1 species
GCUAGUAUUACCUCAUUAGCCACCAUUUUCGAGAUGCGGCGUGCCCAAGGCCCUGCCGCCGUGCUCGCCAUCGGCACCGCGAACCCGGUGAACUGCAUGUCCCAGGACGAGUUCCUGGACUUGUACUUCCGUGCCACACAGAGCGAGCAUCUCACCAGCCUCAAGGAUGAUUUCAGGAGACUUUAUGGGAAACUUAGCGUCCAGAAGCGCUACUUCCACCACACUGAGGAGGUGCUGAGUGCCCACCUCGAAAUCAUCGAUCCCUCGUCGCCGUCCCUAGAUACCAGACUGGAGAUCGUCAGGGAUGCCGUCCCAGAGCUUGCUGCAAAAGCCUCCGUCAACGCCAUCACCGAGUGGGGCCGUCCAGCAACCGACAUCACCCACCUCGUCGUCACCACCAACUCCGGCGCCCAUGUACCAGGCGUUGACUUCCGCCUCAUGGGGCUCCUCGGCCUGAGGCCGUCGGUCCGUCGCAGCAUGCUCUACCUCAACGGCUGCUUCGCCGGCUCUGCAGCGUUGCGCCUCGCCAAGGACCUCGCCGAGAACAACCGUGGCGCCCGCGUCCUUGUGGUCUGCGCUGAGCUCACCAUCAUGCUGCUCAGAGGCCCCAAAGAGGACUGCUACCAGACAAUCGUCGACCACGGGCAUUUCGGCGACGGUGCGGGCGCCGUCAUCGUCGGCGCCGACCCCACGACUAGCCCCGCCGAGCGCCCGUUGUUUCAUAUGGUAGCCGCCACACAGACGGUGAUACCAGAGUCGGAUCAUGCCAUCAACCUGCGCCUGACGGAAGACGGACUCCGGGGCUACCUCGCCCCGGGAAAGGAGGUGCCGGUGCUCAUCGGGGACAACAUCCAGCAGUGCCUCCUGGACUCGUUUGAACCGCUGGGCGUCCAGGUCAAGUGGAACGACCUCUUCUGGGCGAUGCACCCCGGGUCGGUCCCGAUCUUGGACCGGAUCGAUGAGGCGCUCCAGCUUGAGCCGGAGAAGCUGGCGCCAAGCCGCAUGGUGCUGAGAGAGUACGGCAACAUGUUUGGCGUGUCCGUCAUCUUCGUGCUCGAUGAGCUACGCCGGCGUAGGGAGAUGCAAGGGGCAGAGGCAACACCUGGCUGGGGUGUGAUGAUGGCAUGUGGGCCCGGGCUGACUAUCGAGACCAUGAUACUGCACGCAACCUAG